GAUGUGUAGGAUAGGUGGGAGGCUUUGAAGCGUGGACGCCAGUCUGCGUGGAGCCAACCUUGAAAUACCACCCUUUAAUGUUUGAUGUUCUAACGUUGGCCCCUUACCGGGGUUGCGGACAGUGUCUGGUGGGUAGUUUGACUGGGGCGGUCUCCUCCCAAAGCGUAACGGAGGAGCACGAAGGUUAGCUAAUCCUGGUCGGACAUCAGGAGGUUAGUGCAAUGGCAUAAGCUAGCUUGACUGCGAGCGUGACGGCGCGA
rnacentral:rRNA from 1 species